UGAACGCUGGCGGCAUGCCUUACACAUGCAAGUCGAACGGCAGCAUGAUCUAGCUUGCUAGAUUGAUGGCGAGUGGCGAACGGGUGAGUAAUACAUCGGAACGUGCCCUGUAGUGGGGGAUAACUAGUCGAAAGAUUAGCUAAUACCGCAUACGACCUGAGGGUGAAAGUGGGGGACCGCAAGGCCUCAUGCUAUAGGAGCGGCCGAUGUCUGAUUAGCUAGUUGGUGAGGUAAAGGCUCACCAAGGCGACGAUCAGUAGCUGGUCUGAGAGGACGAUCAGCCACACUGGGACUGAGACACGGCCCAGACUCCUACGGGAGGCAGCAGUGGGGAAUUUUGGACAAUGGGGGCAACCCUGAUCCAGCAAUGCCGCGUGUGUGAAGAAGGCCUUCGGGUUGUAAAGCACUUUUGUCCGGAAAGAAAUCGCACUUACUAAUAUUAGGUGUGGAUGACGGUACCGGAAGAAUAAGGACCGGCUAACUAC
rnacentral:rRNA from 1 species